rfam:Stereum hirsutum FP-91666 SS1 unplaced genomic scaffold STEHIscaffold_2, whole genome shotgun sequence.
GCUCCGAUAGCUCAACAGGAAGAGUGACUGAGAAUAUAUCUCGUGGGAGCCCUACGUAGGGUGUCUUCUUAGUGACGCAGGUUCGAAUCCCGCUCGGAGCC